AUCUUCAUCCUCUUCUCCAGCCUUUCAAACCUGUAAAUUGAUCAAAACCUUCCACCACCAUUACUUACCUCCCACAUCGCCAUCACCACCACUACCACUACCCUCACUCCACCGAUUUCACAAGGUUUUGUUUGAUUAACCACCCUCACCCAUCCCUACUCUACUUAUUACACAAGUUUUUGACUGAUUUGAAGCCACAUAAACUACCUACGAUUUCACGAUCGAUUGAAUUGAGGCCAUUAUUUGCAGGUUUUCAUGGAGAUGGAACACCCUUGAUUUUAACCGAAAGGUUUUGAUCAACUUGCAGUUCCAUUUUGGUCCCUAUGGUGUUCUUCAUCGGUCUGCUUCAUUUCGGUUUUGAGGAGAUGGGGGAAAUGGGUUGGUCCUGUUUUUGGCCGACGCAAUCGAAAGCAGAUUUAGCAAAGAAGCAGAAGAUCAAUGAAGACAAGACCUUCGGUCUCAAGAAUAAGAACAAGAGUAAAAAUGCUCGGAAAUACGUCGAAUCUUUGCGUCAAUCUAUUCAACCUAAGCCUGAUCCUAAAUCAAUGCCAAGAAAAAGAGAAGGCAAAAAAGGAGUUGAAUGAUCUGCUUAAGAUUGCUGUUAGUCAGCCCAAAGUUCCAGUUGGUAUGGAUUUCAUUUCUUUUCCUUUUGGUUUUUCAAAUACGAUGAUUUAGGAUUAUGACAUUGAUAUGCAUGCGAACUUCUACAUAUUAAGUUUGUUAAUUAUGAUGUUUUUGUGUUUGUAUGAA